UACGUAGGGUGCGAGCGUUAAUCGGAAUUACUGGGCGUAAAGCGUGCGCAGGCGGUUCGUUAUGUCCGAUGUGAAAGCCCCGAGCUUAACUUGGGAAUGGCAUUGGAAACUGGCGGGCUGGAGUGCGGCAGAGGGGGGUGGAAUUCCACGUGUAGCAGUGAAAUGCGUAGAUAUGCGGAGGAACACCGAUGGCGAAGGCAAUCCCCUGGGCCUGCACUGACGCUCAUGCACGAAAGCGUGGGGAGCAAACAGG
rnacentral:rRNA from 1 species